rnacentral:rRNA from 1 species
AGGAUGAACGCUAGCUACAGGCUUAACACAUGCAAGUCGAGGGGAACGAUAUUGGAAGCUUGCUUCCGAUAGGCGUCGACCGGCGCACGGGUGAGUAACGCGUAUCCAACCUGCCCAUCACUUGGGGAUAACCUUGCGAAAGUAAGACUAAUACCCAAUGACGUCUCUAGAAGACAUCUGAAGGAGAUUAAAGAUUUAUCGGUGAUGGAUGGGGAUGCGUCUGAUUAGCUUGUUGGCGGGGUAACGGCCCACCAAGGCGACGAUCAGUAGGGGUUCUGAGAGGAAGGUCCCCCACAUUGGAACUGAGACACGGUCCAAACUCCUACGGGAGGCAGCAGUGAGGAAUAUUGGUCAAUGGACGAGAGUCUGAACCAGCCAAGUAGCGUGCAGGAUGACGGCCCUAUGGGUUGUAAACUGCUUUUAUAAGGGAAUAAAGUGAGUCUCGUGAGACUUUUUGCAUGUACCUUAUGAAUAAGGACCGGCUAAUUCCGUG